AAGAAACGGUAGGAUUCAUCCUAUUCUGACGGUACCUGAAGAAUAAGCACCGGCUAACUCCGUGCCAGCAGCCGCGGUAAUACGGAGGGUGCGAGCGUUAUCCGGAAUUACUGGGUUUAAAGGGUGCGUAGGCGGCUUUGUAAGUCAGGAGUGAAAGUUUGCGGCUCAACCGUAAAAUUGCUUUUGAUACUGCGAGGCUAGAAUUAGGAUGAGGUCAGCGGAAUGUGGCAUGUAGCGGUGAAAUGCAUAGAUAUGCCAUAGAACACCAAUUGCGAAGGCAGCUGACUAGACCUGGAUUGACGCUGAGGCACGAAAGCGUGGGGAGCGAACAGGAUUAGAUACCCUGGUAGUCCACGCCCUAAACGAUGCUUACUCGACGUAUGGCGCUAGACGUUGUGCGUCCAAGGGAAACCGUUAAGUAAGCCACCUGGGGAGUACGACCGCAAGGUUGAAACUCAAAGG
rnacentral:rRNA from 1 species